rnacentral:rRNA from 1 species
ACUCCUACGGGAGGCAGCAGUAGGGAAUCUUCCACAAUGGGCGCAAGCCUGAUGGAGCAACACCGCGUGAGUGAAGAAGGGUUUCGGCUCGUAAAGCUCUGUUGUUAAAGAAGAACACGUAUGAGAGUAACUGUUCAUACGUUGACGGUAUUUAACCAGAAAGUCACGGCUAACUACGUGCCAGCAGCCGCGGUAAUACGUAGGUGGCAAGCGUUAUCCGGAUUUAUUGGGCGUAAAGAGAGUGCAGGCGGUUUUCUAAGUCUGAUGUGAAAGCCUUCGGCUUAACCGGAGAAGUGCAUCGGAAACUGGAUAACUUGAGUGCAGAAGAGGGUAGUGGAACUCCAUGUGUAGCGGUGGAAUGCGUAGAUAUAUGGAAGAACACCAGUGGCGAAGG